rnacentral:lncRNA from 1 species
CGGUUUUCCACAAGGUAAGUAAAAAAUGCAGAAACUUUUGACAUAUGAAUUCAUCUUGACUAAGGAACUCUUCACAGCACUGCAUCUGAACAGUCACAACCUCACAGAGCUGCACAACUGCCCCACUCAAGAUCAGUGUUGAAGCUGGAACCUCGUCUUGUGUACAGCAAAGGCAGAGCUGAAAAUUCACUGUUUGUCUUGUAUUGUGUGUGGCAAGACCUGGAAUAACACCUGGGAGCCCUCCAGGAAUUCCUGACACUUUACGCACAAGUCUCCUCAUGCUAACCGGAUUGCAAUAUGACAGUCUAGUCAGCAUAAACACCUGGACUCACCAAGCACACUUUGGUUCUCAGUGUUUUGUAUAAAUUGUUUUUGCUAUUCUUCAGUAAAUACUUUUGAUGUUUAAGUUCAAAAAGUUGUUAUUAUAAACAUAAUUUGCAUUUGUGAUGAACUUGACUUGUUGUUGUUGUGCAAGCUGUUUAUUAUAAUGGCAUUUCCAAAGGCAUCAUUUGAAAAUAUUUUUUUGCAGUGCAGUUUUACUUGAGCUUGACAUAACAGAUGUAUGACAUGAAUAAAUAUCACAAAAUAAAUAUAAUAAUAAUAAAAAAUAUACAUUUCCUUCAAUUAUAAUAGUUUUUAAUCAUUUAUAUAUGUAUGGUAAUAUGUUAUUGCAUUAAAAACUGUUAUAAAAUAUAUAUAUUUGCAUGUUUGCGUGAUUUUUGUUUUUUGUGGCAUUAUAAAUAAAUUAUAAAUGUUUCAUUAAAAAUGUAUUGUGUUUAUUUGCAU